GGUGGUUCUCAGGUGACACACCCCAGAAUUGGGCUCCCUCCUCUCUGGUUCUGGGUGCGUUACCCAAGAACCGCA
rfam:Myotis brandtii contig156289, whole genome shotgun sequence.